GCUCAGAUUUGGAAUCUGGCCCCCCCCGGGGGCCCGAGUUUGUAAUCUGGAYAGGAUGCUUCUGGCGCGGCGCCCGGCGAGUUCCCUGGAAACGGGACGCCGGAGAGGGUGAGAGCCCCGUUACUCCGGGCCGCCUAGCCUCUGCGAAGCUCCUUCGACGAGUCGAGUAGUUUGGGAAUGCUGCUCUAAACGGGAGGUAAAUUUCUUCUAAAGCUAAAUACCGGCCAGAGACCGAUAGCGCACAAGUAYAGUGAUCGAAAGAUGAAAAGCACUUUGAAAAGAGGGUCAAACAGUACGUGAAAUUGUUGAAAGGGAAGCGCCCGUGGCCAGACUUGCGCCCCGCGGCUCACCCGGCGGACCCCGCCGGGGCACGCCGCGGGGCGCAGGCCACAUCGGCUUCCCCAGGGGGA
rnacentral:rRNA from 2 species